UAUAUUAUUUUAGGUUUUGGCUUCUCACAAUCUUAAAAUGUCAGGUGGUGCAACUGUCCAAGCAAGUGAGCAGGCUAAGAAAACUAUAAAAAAUGUAAUAUUAAUUAGUAAAGAGGUAAAAUAAAAUACUUUGGCAUUGUUUUAUGUUUUAAGUCUUUUGGAAAAUGUUUUUUUUUCUCAUAUUAAUAGUUUUAAAGCUUUUAAAAUAACUGCUAAACUUUUGUCCGGCAAUUAACAUUUCCUAAAUGUCAGGGUGGCGCAACCAUAAACAUUGGACUUUUAUUUUGAAGUGAAGAGACAAUAGCUGUAAACAGGAUGUUGCAUUAGCCAGGAGACCCCAAGAGACCCUUGGGACUAAGCUAAAAGGUUUGUAGAUCUCUGUCAAAUACUGAUAAAAAUAACUACUUUUAACUCAUAUGUAGGCUGGUACGCUUUCCAUGUCAGGUGGUACAACCAGUGUAAAACUAGAAACAUAUUAUUUUAUCAUAAAACUCUUCAUUUUUUAAGAAAGUGGUCUGUUUGAACUUCAUGACAAGGGUAGAAGCUAAUGCUAGCUAACAAACAAGAGCCUGUUUAAUUUGAGGUUAGUUGCAAUUGUCAGGUGGUGCAACCAGUUAGUCAGGUGGCACAACUGUAAGGAAUGUCUCUAUAUAAUGCUAUACAAAGCUCUAAGAUUAUCCAUGAGACUUUUAAAAUGUUUACUAGUUUUUAUAUUUAAAGAUAUUAUACACUUUAAAACAUUUUACAUGAUAAUUUGUACAUUUUAGAUGCCACUAUCAACUAAAGAAAAAUCAGCACGACAUCGGGCACGCAUUAAAAAUGAUCCGGCUGCAAGGGAAGCAUAUCUGGCAAAAAGAAAAGAGAGUUAUCAGAGGAGGAAGAGAGAGGGAAAGAUUGUGAAGCCCCCCAUCAGCCAACUGUCUAAGCAAAAAAAAAGAAAAAAAAUGAGGCAACAGUGGAGGCAAGAUCAUGGAGGGUUCAUCAUGGUGAAUUACGAAGGUCAGCCAUUUGUGGGGCAGGUCCUUCAAGUGGUUGGGGAAGAGAUUGAGGUGAGCUGCAUGCAGCAACUGGGAGGAAAAAUUGAUGCAAUGCAUUCACUUGGCCCCAACGUGCUGACAUCAUUUUUUUCUACGCAGCUGAAGUGCUCAGAGUGAUUGCAGAGCCAGAGCCUCUCAAUUCAUGACACACACGUCUAACGUAUUCUGACUGGGAAUACUUCAAUACACAAAAACUGAGUUGAGAUACUGUCUACUAAUGUUGACCCAACAACUCAGAAAACGUUCCGGUUUUGUUAAAUGAUACUUCAUUGUUGCCAUUUAGAAUAGUGUUAUAGUUAGUGUUGUAUCGAAUGUAGUCUUAUGUGAAGUGUUGUUG